GUCCAGACUCCUACGGGAGGCAGCAGUGGGGAAUAUUGCACAAUGGGGGAAACCCUGAUGCAGCGACGCCGCGUGAGCGAUGAAGUAUUUCGGUAUGUAAAGCUCUAUCAGCAGGGAAGAAAAUGACGGUACCUGACUAAGAAGCCCCGGCUAACUACGUGCCAGCAGCCGCGGUAAUACGUAGGGGGCAAGCGUUAUCCGGAUUUACUGGGUGUAAAGGGAGCGUAGACGGCAAUGCAAGCCAGAUGUGAAAGCCCGGGGCUCAACCCCGGGACUGCAUUUGGAACUGUGUAGCUGGAGUGUCGGAGAGGCAGGCGGAAUUCCUAGUGUAGCGGUGAAAUGCGUAGAUAUUAGGAGGAACACCAGUGGCGAAGGCGGCCUGCUGGACGAUGACUGACGUUGAGGCUCGAAAGCGUGGGGAGCAAACAGGAUUAGAUACCCGAGUAG
rnacentral:rRNA from 1 species